rnacentral:rRNA from 1 species
CCUACGGGGGGCAGCAGUAGGGAAUAUUGCUCAAUGGGGGAAACCCUGAUGCAGCGACGCCGCGUGGGUGAAGGAGCGUUUCGGCGCGUAAAGCCCUAUCGGCAGGGAAGAAGGAGGACGGUACCUGACUACGAAGCCCCGGCUAACUACGUGCCAGCAGCAGCGGUAAUACGUAGGGGGGAAGCGUUAUCAGGAUGUACUGGGUGGAAGGGGGGCGCAGACGGCGGCGCAAGCGAGGAGUGAAAGCCCGGGGCCCAACCCCGGGACUGCUCUUGGAACUGGGCGGCUGGAGUGCAGGAGGGGCAGGUGGAAUUCCUGGUGUAGCGGUGAAAUGCGUAGAUAUCAGGAGGAACACCGGUGGCGAAGGCGGCCUGCUGGACUGCGACUGACGUUGAGGCCCGAAAGCGUGGGGAGCAAACAGGAUUAGAUACCCUAGUAGUC